AAUAGGAGUAUGAUAAAUCAAAUUUUUUCUCCUAAUUUUCAACUUUUUCCUCUAGAAAAAAUUCAAAUCCAACUAAAAAUGCUAAAAAUCAGGAGGAAAAAUCUAAUUUGUCAUGCUCCUAUU
rfam:Gossypium hirsutum cultivar TM-1 chromosome 25, whole genome shotgun sequence